UGCUCUGAAAGUACCAGAAAGGCAGUGGCACUGAACUGAUCUGAGUACCAGCAUUUGGCGUGCUCCCCAGAGCUGUCUGAGCAAACAAGGCAAAGGGGAAAAAGCCUGUCCCUCCCUCUCUCCACCUGCCCAGUGACUCAGAACAACUAGAAAUGGCAGCUUAACUCUCAGAAUACAGACCGAUAUAUCCAGCACUCAGCGUGAGGGCAUCAGGAGUGCCAAGAAAGAAAGAAAAAAAAAGACGUACAAACCUUCUGCACUCCURGUGUGAUAAUUUGGGCAGCCUGACUGAGAGUAAGUGAUAAAUUCUGGUUGAAGUGAUAAAGUUCCAGGUACAAAAAAUCUGCAUGGCAUGGCCUGCUUUUAAGGAGAUACAGAAUUUAACAUGGCUGAUAAGGGGUCUGACACGGGCUUCCCAGUCAGGAGCAAGAGAUAGUUGCUUAUUCCCAUAGAACUACUUUGGGAGAGUAGAUUUGCUGUAACCAAAGAGCCAGAUUGCUCUGAACAUCUUGGCAAAUGGCAUCCACCAUGUAGGGGAACCAUGGUGCAGGGAAGAAAGCACGCUGAUACCGUCAGAACUGCAAAAAGCUUGGAAGAGAAACCUGACAGAAUUAAUAGCUGGGGGCAGGAGAGGGAGGAGCAGCUGAGAUAGCUGAAGGGCCAGUGACAGCUAAAGCCAGCUGCAGCAGAGAGAAUUACUUAUGAGAGGAGAUAAUCACAAGUUGUGUGCUUUUCACUCUUAUCCAAAUGGUUGGAGCAGGUAGAAGAGGCAUUUAAGCCAGAGAGUAAUGAGAAGAAAUGGUACUAACCUUAAGGGAAUAGCUGAAAUCCUGGAAGGGGCACAAAACAAAAAAAGGUCUUGGGGCUCUGCAUCCCAAGACUGCACAAAGACAACUGCGUUGAUGUAGCACACGCUCUGCUUAGACUUCAAGGGCUUGAAGGACUACAGGGUGCACUAAGCUAAGACCCUGAUUUAACCAUCUGAGGAAGUGUACACACCCAUGGGGAACUCGGUUCUGCCUCUACACAAAGGCGCCUGUUCUCAGAUCUCUGCUGAGCCAACAGACUGCUUUUAGUCUGUGCUGGUAUUUGACAAACAAGCAGCCUCUGGUUUCCAGCAUGCAAAUGGCCAAUAGCCCAGAACACAAUAGUCGGUUUCCCGUUACAGAAGGGAAGGCUUUAACUUAUUCACAAGAACAGGAUAGCGAGUCAAAUAGCUUAGUAGGUUUUAGAAAGGGAUUGGAUGUUUGCACGGUGAAACAACAUCCACAGCCGUAUUAGCCAGGAUAAGGGUUACAAGCUCAGCGAUCCUCAYGCUACAGGACAAAAUGAUCAGUGGCUGGGAUCAUAGGCAGACAAAAGCAAUAGCCAUUCCCUGAAGCUCCUUGCAGCAAGGUCACGUGGCUAUAAGCAGACACUGUCAGAAACCAGAUAACCCAUUGUGAAGUGCUAGCCGGGCUAAUCCUCCAUGUCCCCAGAAAGCUCCAGAGAGGCUAGGCACCAAAUUAACCAAAGAGAAAUCCUUAUUGUACAAAAAAUAAAAACCCAAAAGUUUUAUUGGUAUGCAUCCCACAGAAAAGGUUACAAGAAAGGCCUUGGAUUAAUAUGUCAAAGAAAACACGGAAGGCGUCAGCCAUGAGCAAGUUCCUUACAAAACAGGGCAGCAUGGAAAUAUACUGGAGGAAGAGAGGAGGGGAUCAGAUUGGUGCUCUCUUCUUCGAUACUCAUGGACAGGGCAA